AUGAACGCUGGCGGCGUGCUUAACACAUGCAAGUCGAACGAUUAAAGCUCACUUCGGUGAGUGUAUAGAGUGGCGAACGGGUGAGUAACACGUGGGAAACCUGCCCCUUUCUUCGGGAUAACUUCGGGAAACCGUUGCUAAUACCGGAUACUCCGGGAUGGUCGCAUGGCCGACCCGGGAAAGCUUUAUGUGGAAAGGGAUGGUCCCGCGGCCCAUUAGCUUGUUGGUGGGGUAAUGGCCUACCAAAGGCGAUGAUGGGUAGCCG
rnacentral:rRNA from 1 species